ACAAAGAUAGGUGUAUUAGCCACCAAAAUAAAGGAGAAGAAAAAAAAAAAACAGAUUAAUAUUUGGGCAAAAGACAAUGACUUUGGUCGACCAAUGAACUGAAAGCAAUUAAAGUUGAAAAGAAGGAGGACAAAAGGAGGGGAUUCUGUGGCAAUUAACCGUGAAGGACAAAAGGAUGGCUGAUCAAAUAGCUUUUGUGGUGGAAUCUUGUGUCAUGGAACAGAUAAGCGAAGGCAAAUAGUAGAAGUCACCUUUCAAUCCCAAAAUUGAUUGGAUGAAUUUGUACGAGUUGCUUGAGGUGAAGCAGUUGGUAUUUCGGCACAAGUACUAGACAACAGCUGAUGCAUGCGAUGAUUUCGUUAAUUAAAGCGCACGGAUUGAUAGUUCUCGGUGAGCCUCGCACUUGUUCGCGUAGGCGGAGAUUUUAUUUAUUUUCAUGAUCUUCUUUGAACUCUUAAAGUCGCUCUAUGGUCCUUCUUUUAAUGUCUUGAGUAGUCUUUGUUAUUAUAGACUUAUGUUGAGUAACACUCAUUCUUAUCAAAUUUGGAAAUAUAGUAGUAUUUCUAGUUGUUAG